rnacentral:rRNA from 1 species
UACGUAGGUGGCAAGCGUUAUCCGGAAUUAUUGGGCGUAAAGAGCGCGCAGGUGGUUGAUUAAGUCUGAUGUGAAAGCCCACGGCUUAACCGUGGAGGGUCAUUGGAAACUGGUCGACUUGAGUGCAGAAGAGGGAAGUGGAAUUCCAUGUGUAGCGGUGAAAUGCGCAGAUAUCAGGAGGAACACCAGCGGCGAAGGCGGCGCUCUGGGCUGAGAUUGACGCUGAGGAGCGAAAGUGUGGGUAGCAAACAGGAUUA